CAGUCAGGAAAUUUGGUCACAGGCCACCUCUGCCUUGGCAGCUGUUUGACUUCUCAGAUUAGAUUUCUCCUCUAUGAAAUGGAAAUAAUAGUACCAAUCUCACAGAUUUCUUAUGAAGAUGAAAUGAGAUAAUUUCCAGCAGGAGGGACAGAACCACAAUUUGGUAGUAGGGAGACCUUCAACCGAAGUAACCAUGUACACUGGAAACCAAGAAAUCACCUCUAUUAUCUAGAAGUUAUUGGCCUCGUGCUCAUCUCGCAAAUUCAGGUGCCCUAUAUGUGCCAGAUAAGCUCAUCUUUAUCUGGGGAACAUGUAGAACUACGAUGAAGUAAAGGGAGAUGGAAGAAAAUUUAAUAGUUUAAGAGUAUGUCUUAUAAAAUAAUAGGUUUCAUAUUUGCCAAUGGCUGGUGAUCUCUGCAGACGGAGCCCUUGGUUUCAAGUAAAACACCUCAACCGUUUACAAGAAGGAAAGGAAUGCCAAGAACUACAGCAAAAUCUUGUCCAGACGUAAUUCCAUAGUACAGUCGGUGCUUCUAACACAAUUCCAGAAUUACAGAUCUUGUUUACUUACCCAAAAUUCAAAUAAAGGUGGAUAAUCUUUUCAGUUUUAUUGGUUAUAAAUCACCAGCUGACAAGUUACUCAACUUCUGCAAUUGUAGUAAAAUUCUAGAGCUAUCAAGAAAAGGUGGCUAGUUCAAGAACAACUAAGGAAUUGAUUCACUCUUCAGAACCUGUGCCAACUUCCUUUCUGUGGGUGAGCUAAAUAGUGGAUACCUUUUAUAGAAGGAAAGCCAUCAUCCUAUGAAGAAAACCUCUUUCUCUGCCAUGAACAAGCUGAAUGCAAUCACAG
rnacentral:lncRNA from 1 species